rnacentral:lncRNA from 1 species
CAAGACCUAAGUCCUAAACACAAGGAGAUCUGAUGCUAUAAAUUUUCAUCCAAGCUCAGGAGAAGACCUGUGUCUCAGCUCAACCAGUGCUUUUACAGCUAGGGAUUAAGUAACCUACUUCACUUUAAACCCGAAUUCAGUAAGUGGGGAACCCAUUAUUUGUACCUAAGUGGUUUAAUUUCAGAGCACUCGUAGAAAUUAUACUCUAUAAUUUCUUCUUAUUUGCCUAGUGAUCCACCCAAAUUCUACAGAAAACUGAGUCCCCCUUGAUAUCUCCUUCUCCCUUGCUUUUUCCUCCCACCUGUUAAAACAUCCUCUUGAGUCUAAUCCAAAAUAUAUUUUGAGUCAUCUCCUUCUCCCUGCAACUCUAGCAAUUAUCUCUUUAGCCUCUUAUCUAUUUUUCUUGAUUCCACUGUUACUUUUCUCUAAUCCGUUCCUUAUACAGAAAGCAUUCUCUUGUUUAAAUUGUUUGAUAGUUCCACAUUGUCAUUGGUGUAAGAUUUUUUUUUUCUUAAUUUCUACUAGGCUUAAAAGUCAUAUAUCUGGCCCCUGCCUACCUCUAGAUUUAUCUAGUUCCAUUCAUCUCUUCACUCAGUACACUCCAAGUAUACUAGCUUUAUUGCAAUUCUGCACAUAUUCCAUUACACCUGAAGCCAUAACUAUAUUUUCAUUCCUCCUGAAGCUAUAACUAUACUUUCUGGUUUAUCUGAGUAACUAGCCUUGUAUAUAAGGCCUUAGUCCUCAGGACUUUUCUUUGGGAGAAUAGCUGGCCCUGAAUUAUGAUUAUUAUAAAUGCACAGACAAUUUCAUGGAAGCAGAAAAGAAUAAGCCUCAGAAGCUUCCUUUGUCAAGAAAUGAAAGUACUUGCAAUUAGCAUUCAAAUAGAUGAUAAAUGUAGAGUAUCUGUAGGGUAUACAAUGAUUCUAAAUUUAAUUGACAAUUAGCUGUGAUUGUGUGACCCUAUAAAUAAAAUUGUAAUAAAUUGUAUUGCAUAAAUUAAAUUUAUUAAACACUAUUUUUGCUGUAUCCUAAUAUUUAUUAGUCUAUUUAAUCACUCUCUGAAAUUAGAAAAAAAAGACAGUCUCCAUAUAACUUCUCAAUUUGAUAAAUGCUCACUUAAAAAUAGGUACAUGAGGGAAACAGAGAUUGGAUGUAUUAUAAUUCAAUAGGCCUAUACUUUUUAAACGUAAUUACUUAUAUUGGUAAUAUGUGGAAUAUGUGCAAAGUUUAAAUGGUUAUUAAGAUUUUAAUAUUAAGGGAGAAGAGUAGGAGAUGUUAUUAGAAUACAUAACACAUUAGAUAUUAGAAUACAUAACACAUUAAGAAUACUAGUCAUAUCCUUAAUAGAUGGAAUAUAUCUGUCAGACAUAGAAGAGAAUCACCAGCACUGUAAACAAUAAUAAGCUAAUUUCAAAAUAACAAGAAUUAAUUUGUCAGUUUUUCAGAAGUGGUCAACAGAUUUCUCUCAUAGAAAUUCGUCUGUUACAAUAUGUUAGAAACUGUGAAGAAUAGAAGCUGUGAAGAAUAGAAGCACCUGAAAAGCUGUGUUAUUCACAUUUGCUGUUGUAGCCUCAAUGUUUGUGUCCCCCCAAAUUCAUAGAUUGACACCUAAUGGCCAAUGUGAUGAUUCGGAGGUGGGCCAUUGGGAAGUGAUUAGGUCAUAGGUGGGGCCCACAUGAAUGAGAUUAGUACCUUUAUGAAAGAGGCCCCAGAGGGCUGCUUUGCCCUUUUCCACUAUAUAUAGGCAUAGCAAGAAGGCACUACUUAUGAACCGGAAAAUAGACAUCACCAGAGACCAAAUCUGCUGGUCCUUGAUCUUGACCUUCUCAGUCUGUAAAACCAUGAGAAAUAAAUUUUUGUUGUUGAUAAGCCACCCGGUCUAAGGUAUUUAUUGUGUUACAGCAGCCUUAGCAGAAUAAGACAAUAUCUUAUGACAAUAUAGUACAAGGAUUAAUGAUUAUGCUUUAAAAAGUAGUUUUAGGCCGGGUGCAGUGGCUCACGCCUGUAAUACCAGCACUUUGGGAGGCGGAGACGAGUGGAUCAUGAGGUCAGGAGAUCCAGACCAUCCUGGCUAACACAAUGAAACCCCAUCUCUACUAAAAAUACAAAAAAUUAGCCGGGCGUGGUGACGGGCUUCUGUAGUCCCGGCUACUCCGGAGGCUGAGGCAGGAGAAUGGCAUGAAUCCGGGAGGUGGAGCUUGCAGUGAGCCGAGAUCACGCCACUGCACUCCAGCCUGGGCAACAGAGGGAGACUCCAUCUCAAAAAAAAAAAAACAUGUAGUUUUAAAGAUAUUUUAAUAAAAAUAAACACGAUUUCCUGAGAAAAAGGUUAAAAUGCGAAGUUUUUAUUUCUAAAAAAAUACUCUGAAUAAUAAAUCAUAGAAGAAAUGUUACAUAGAACAGGCUUAAAGUUCAGAAUGGAAACUAGUGGGUACAUGAAAGAUAGUAAAUAAGAGAGCCAAUAAAGUAGUAAUUCUCCAUCACCCCACUUGGUACCCAGGAUAUAUAACUGAAGGACAGAAAAAAUAUAAUUUUAAAAUGACAGGUUUAUCAGACAUUCAUGUGGGAUUACUGAAUUUAAAAUGUGUAGGCAAAUCAAAACUUUAAAAUAGGCUAAUAAAUAAUUCAAUAAGCCAAAAUGAUUUCUAACAAUGAAUUAAAGUUGGAAUUGGAUAUCAUCUAUAAAAUAAUAAUAAAGACAAUCUUUCUUAAAAGUAUGUUUUAAAAAUAAAAGUGCAAAGAGGUAAAAUUCUUUGGUAUUUUCUAUUAGAAGUAUAGGAAAGACAUAGCAAAGAAACAAAAUAAAAGCAGAAUCCCUAUUAUUACCAAAAAAUGCAACCCUUGUGAAAAUGAAAUGAACACACUAAUAAUAAAAGAUAUAAAAAUGUUUAUGAUUUAGAAGAAAAAGGUGAAGGGAGUUUCAUUAAGAUCAAGAAAUGUUGGGUGUUAUUUUGUAUUUGUUUCUAAUAACAGGGCAUAUAUUUACCUGUUCUCUCACUAAUUUAUUUAAUAUAUAUUUAUUGAGCACUAUCCAUUGUCAAUAUUGCUUGAUGAUAAGGUCACAGAGAUGGAACACAAAAUUUGCACGGUCAAGGACUCAUAGCCCAGUAAGUAAUAGUGAAAGGUGAAGCCGACUGGGCAUCUGGGUCAGCUGGGGACUUGGAGAACUUUUCUGUCUAGCUAAAGGAUUGUAAACACACCAAUCAGCACUCUGUAAAAACGCACCAAUCAGCACUCUGUGUGUAGCUAAAGGUUUGCAAAUGUACCAAUCAGCACUCUGUAAAAAUGAACCAAUCAGCACUCUGUAAAAUGGACCAAUCAGCGCUCUGUAAAAUGGACCAAUCAGCAGGAUGUGGGCGGGGCCAAAUAAGGGAAUAAAAGCUGGUCACCUGAGCCAGCAGCAGCAACCUUCUCAGAUCCUUUUCUACACUGUGGAAGCUUUGUUCUUUUGCUCUUCACAAUAAAUCAUGCUGCCGCUCACUCUUUGGGUCCACACUACCUUAAUGAGUUGUAACACACACUGCAAAGAUCUGCGGCUUCACUUCUGAAGUCAGUGAGAACAGGAACCCACCGGGAGGAACAAACAACUCCAGACAUGCGAACUUUAAGAGCUGUAACACUCACUGCAAAGGUCUGCAGCUUCACUCCUGAAGUCAAGCAAGACCAGAAACCCACCAGAAGGAAGAAACUAGAGACACAUCUGAAGGAACAAACUCCAGACACACCAUCUUUAAGAACUGUAACACUCACCGUGAAGGUCCGCGGCUUCAUUAUUGAAGUCAGCCAGACCAAGAACCCACAGGAAGGAAUCAAUUCCGGACACAAUAGAGUUCAGGAUGGAGAAAAAUACACAAUUUAAAAAAUAUUAUGAGAGG